rnacentral:piRNA from 1 species
UAGGGGCCAGUUCUCUCCAGUUCUCUC